rnacentral:rRNA from 1 species
GUGAGUAAUGCCUAGGAAUCUGCCUGGUAGUGGGGGAUAACGUUCGGAAACGGACGCUAAUACCGCAUACGUCCUACGGGAGAAAGCAGGGGACCUUCGGGCCUUGCGCUAUCAGAUGAGCCUAGGUCGGAUUAGCUAGUUGGUGGGGUAAUGGCUCACCAAGGCGACGAUCCGUAACUGGUCUGAGAGGAUGAUCAGUCACACUGGAACUGAGACACGGUCCAGACUCCUACGGGAGGCAGCAGUGGGGAAUAUUGGACAAUGGGCGAAAGCCUGAUCCAGCCAUGCCGCGUGUGUGAAGAAGGUCUUCGGAUUGUAAAGCACUUUAAGUUGGGAGGAAGGGCAGUAAAUUAAUACUUUGCUGUUUUGACGUUACCGACAGAAUAAGCACCG